rnacentral:rRNA from 1 species
UGGCGGCGUGCCUAAUACAUGCAAGUCGAGCGAGCUUGCCUAGAUGAUUUUAGUGCUUGCACUAAAUGAAACUAGAUACAAGCGAGCGGCGGACGGGUGAGUAACACGUGGGUAACCUGCCCAAGAGACUGGGAUAACACCUGGAAACAGAUGCUAAUACCGGAUAACAACACUAGACGCAUGUCUAGAGUUUGAAAGAUGGUUCUGCUAUCACUCUUGGAUGGACCUGCGGUGCAUUAGCUAGUUGGUAAGGUAACGGCUUACCAAGGCAAUGAUGCAUAGCCGAGUUGAGAGACUGAUCGGCCACAUUGGGACUGAGACACGGCCCAAACUCCUACGGGAGGCAGCAGUAGGGAAUCUUCCACAAUGGACGAAAGUCUGAUGGAGCAACGCCGCGCGAGUGAAGAAGGGUUUCGGCUCGUAAAGCUCUGUUGGUAGUGAAGAAAGAUAGAGGUAGUAACUGGCCUUUAUUUGACGGUAAUUACUUAGAAAGUCACGGCUAACUACGUGCCAGCAGCCGCGGUAAUACGUAGGUGGCAAGCGUUGUCCGGAUUUAUUGGGCGUAAAGCGAGUGCAGGCGGUUCAAUAAGUCUGAUGUGAAAGCCUUCGGCUCAACCGGAGAAUUGCAUCAGAAACUGUUGAACUUGAGUGCAGAAGAGGAGAGUGGAACUCCAUGUGUAGCGGUGGAAUGCGUAGAUAUAUGGAAGAACACCAGUGGCGAAGGCGGCUCUCUGGUCUGCAACUGACGCUGAGGCUCGAAAGCAUGGGUAGCGAACAGGAUUAGAUACCCUGGUAGUCCAUGCCGUAAACGAUGAGUGCUAAGUGUUGGGAGGUUUCCGCCUCUCAGUGCUGCAGCUAACGCAUUAAGCACUCCGCCNGGGGAGUACGACCGCAAGGUUGAAACUCAAAGGAAUUGACGGGGGCCCGCACAAGCGGUGGAGCAUGUGGUUUAAUUCGAAGCAACGCGAAGAACCUUACCAGGUCUUGACAUCCAGUGCAAACCUAAGAAUUAGUGUUCCCUUCGGGG